CCGCGCCCCGGGAGCACCGAGGGCUCCCUGGGGCGGCCCCCGCGGCGCGCGGCGCCUCCCCCGCACCGGGCCGUGAGGGGCGGCUCCCGCUCUGGGGAUCCAGCCCCGUUGAGGAAGCCAUCGGGAAGGAGGAGGUGGAUUCAGAGGACCUAUCACCGAAACUGGCAUUCUUGUGGUUAAUUAAUGCUACCUAAUUAACGCCACCGAGGGCUCAGCCUCUCCUGUGGGGGGGACCCGGGACCCAGCCCUCCCUCCCAGCGGGAUUUCUCCGGAGUCACCACGUGGCCAGGCUCCUGCUCCAGCGAUCCAGAGGGAUUUAGGAAGGCCCAGGAAGUGGGUGCAGUGCUUCUGUCACCGUAAUUAACCCAGCUGUAGUUAAUUAAAGCUGGAAUCCCCCAGGAAUGCUGAUCUGGGACACUUCCCAUCCCCAGGGGGUCCAUCUGGUGUCACCCCCUGUCCAGGGGAGGGUUGUCACCUUGUCACCUGCACCAGGCUUGGGCAGCUCAUCCCACCCUCCCCGUGCCAGCGCCCUCGUCCCACAGGGAUUUAUCCUGCAGACGUGGAUGGAAGGAGCAGCUGGGGCAACGUGGCACUUUCCCAGUGGGAGAACGUGGAUCCAGCUGCACCAGAACCAGGGAAUUAAACGUGAAACCAUGAUUUUUCCAAUUUACAA